GUGAACGCUGGCGGUAGGCCUAACCCAUGCAAGUCGAACGGCAGCACAGUAAGAGCUUGCUCUUACGGGUGGCGAGUGGCGGACGGGUGAGGAAUACAUCGGAAUCUACUUUUUCGUGGGGGAUAACGUAGGGAAACUUACGCUAAUACCGCAUACGACCUACGGGUGAAAGCAGGGGAUCUUCGGACCUUGCGCGAUUGAAUGAGCCGAUGUCGGAUUAGCUAGUUGGCGGGGUAAAGGCCCACCAAGGCGACGAUCCGUAGCUGGUCUGAGAGGAUGAUCAGCCACACUGGAACUGAGACACGGUCCAGACUCCUACGGGAGGCAGCAGUGGGGAAUAUUGGACAAUGGGCGCAAGCCUGAUCCAGCCAUACCGCGUGGGUGAAGAAGGCCUUCGGGUUGUAAAGCCCUUUUGUUGGGAAAGAAAAGCAGCAGGUUAAUACCCCGCUGUUUUGACGGUACCCAAAGAAUAAGCACCGGCUAACUUCGUG
rnacentral:rRNA from 1 species